rnacentral:tRNA from 3 species
UCGUCAGGCUCAUAACCUGAAGGCCGCAGGUUCAAAUCCUGCCCCCGCAACCA